rnacentral:rRNA from 2 species
GAGUUUGAUCGUGGCUCAGAUUGAACGCUGGCGGCAGGCCUAACACAUGCAAGUCGAACGGCAGCACGGGAGCUUGCUCCUGGUGGCGAGUGGCGAACGGGUGAGUAAUGCAUCGGAACGUAUCCUGGAGUGGGGGAUAACGUAGCGAAAGUUACGCUAAUACCGCAUAUUCUGUGAGCAGGAAAGCGGGGGACCUUCGGGCCUCGCGCUCUUGGAGCGGCCGAUGUCGGAUUAGCUAGUUGGUGAGGUAAAGGCUCACCAAGGCGACGAUCCGUAGCAGGUCUGAGAGGAUGAUCUGCCACACUGGAACUGAGACACGGUCCAGACUCCUACGGGAGGCAGCAGUGGGGAAUUUUGGACAAUGGGGGCAACCCUGAUCCAGCCAUGCCGCGUGAGUGAAGAAGGCC